rnacentral:lncRNA from 1 species
AUGAAUGUAAAGUUAGCAACUAGUAUGGUUAACAAACCUGGUUUUAGAUAUGUGAUGACGUUAUCUUAGAAAUAUGCAUGAAUUUAUCUUGAAAAUAUGUUGAAUUGAUUUGGUUGAUGUGGAUUGGUCUUGAUUUAAUAUUGUAGGGAAGGUUAGAUAUUUAUAAAGGGGCUAUAUUGAAUAUAAAAAAAAAUUAAUUCGUAAACUCCGGUAAUGCCUCGUACCCUAUUCCGGCAAUGAAUACGGGUAGGGGUAUUACAGUACCCUUAUGACACUUUCCAGAAUAAUUGCAGCAGUGCUACCAGUAUAAUGACAAGUUAACGCCUCACACAAAACACUUCAUCCAUAUAAUACAUAACCCGCCCUAUAGUCAGAAACAAAUACAAUACCGGAUAUAACAGAAUAACAGAUGUCAGGAUAUAUAUAUCAUACAGCUCGUACAACAGAUAUUGAACAUGCUUAUACAUAACAAAGCAAACAUAUAGCAUCACAUUACAUGCAUUUAGGUGUUAUUUACGUUGAAUUCAUACUAACAGAAUAACAGAUUUCAUGCUUUAAGGCUUAUAUAACACACAUCGACCCCACAGAAGGCCCACAUAUAUGACCUUAGGAAAAAAUUCUGAAAUUUGGACCCACACGCCCGUAUGGCCCAUACGGCCCACACACGCCCGUGUGGCAUUAAAAGGGCCCAAUUUCAGCUUUCGUCGUUCGUUGUUUUUAGAUUUCUCGUUACACACCUUAUUCGACUUCAAUACCCAAGCAAUCACGGGACCCUUAGCAUUUAAAAAUGAGGUUCAAAACAUUAACUUAACGACGAUUCAUGAUACUAAUUCAAAGAUAAGUAUAAUACACAAUGCCCUUAAACAGCUCUCCAAGUACAAUUAAACACUUACCCAAGGACGGAUAGCCACCAUGCGAUUCAAGUUGUUGGGGAAGCGCCAAUCGUCUCACAAUUCUCCCCUAAUAAAAAAUCAAAGCGGUUAACUAGGAGAAAAACGCACCACACACACCCCUCUUAACCAAAGUCAACGAAUGGAACCGUCCCCACAAUGAACAAAAGAGAGAAGAAAAUGAGAAAAAAAAUUACUGACAUAGAAUGAAGCAGCAGCAAAACAAUACACAACCUCCACAAAAAUUGCAAAGCACAGAAGACAACAAUUCAAGGGAAAACAAGAAAUUUGAAGUAAAUGGAUGAAAAAGAAUAAAGCCAACUCUUGAAACUUCUUCCACUUGAAACCAACGUGAAAAUAAAUUGAAAAGAUGAGGGCAUGAAAUUUUAGAACGUGAAAAGAAAAUGACGGCAAAAAUCUUGAGAUAUUUUCU